rnacentral:tRNA from 1 species
GAGGAUAUAGCUCAGUGGCAGAGCUGCAUGCUCAGCAUGCAUGGAAUCCUGGGUUCAGUUCCCAGUACCUCCA